CAUCUUACCAGGCAGAUAUAGAGUGAAAUAUUCAAACAUCUAAUACUGUCAGGUAAAGAUGUC
rnacentral:pre_miRNA from 1 species